rnacentral:tRNA from 1 species
CGCGGGGUGGAGCAGUCUGGUAGCUCGUUGGGCUCAUAACCCAAAGGUCAUAGGUUCAAAUCCUGUCCCCGCCA